GAUGAACGCUGGCGGCGUGCCCAAUACAUGCAAGUCGAGCGAAUGGAUUAAGAGCUUGCUCUUAUGAAGUCAGCGGCGGACGGGUGAGUAACACGUGGGUAACCUGCCCAUAAGACUGGGAUAACUCCGGGAAACCGGGGCUAAUACCGGAUAAUAUUUUGAACUGCAUGGUUCAAAAUUGAAAGGCGGCUUCGGCUGUCACUUAUGGAUGGACCCGCGUCGCAUUAGCUAGUUGGUGAGGUAACGGCUCACCAAGGCAACGAUGCGUAGCCGACCUGGGAGGGGGAUCGGCCACACGGGGACUGAGACACGGCCCAGACUCCUACGGGAGGCAGCAGUAGGGAAUCUUCCGCAAUGGACGAAAGUCUGACGGAGCAACGCCGCGUGAGUGAUGAAGGCUUUCGGGUCGUAAAUCUCUGUUGUUAGGGAAGAACAAGUGCUAGUUGAAUAAGCUGGCACCUUGACGGUACCUAACCAGAAAGCCACGGCUAACUACGUGCCAGCCGCCGCCGCGG
rnacentral:rRNA from 1 species